rnacentral:rRNA from 1 species
CCUACGGGAGGCAGCAGUGAGGAAUAUUGGUCAAUGGACGCAAGUCUGAACCAGCCAUGCCGCGUGCAGGAAGACGGCUCUAUGAGUUGUAAACUGCUUUUGUACGAGGGUAAACGCAGAUACGCGUGUCUGUCUGAAAGUAUCUUACGAAUAAGGAUCGGCUAACUCCGUGCCAGCAGCCGCGGUAAUACGGAGGAUUCAAGCGUUAUCCGGAUUGAUUGGGUUUAAAGGGUGCGUAGGCGGUCGGAUAAGUUAGAGGUGAAAUCCCGAGGCUCAACUUCAGAAUUGCAUCUGAUACUGGUCGGCUAGAGAGUAGUUGCGGUAGGCGGAAUGUAUGGUGUAGCGGUGAAAUGCUUAGAGAUCAUACAGAACACCGAUUGCGAAGGCAGCUUACCAAGCUACUUCUGACGUUGAGGCACGAAAGCGUGGGGAGCAAACAGGAUUAGAUACCCGGGUAGUC